rnacentral:rRNA from 1 species
CAGCCGCCGCGGGAAUACGUAGGGUGCAAGCGUUAAUCGGAAUUACUGGGCGUAAAGCGUGCGCAGGCGGUUUUGUAAGACAGAGGUGAAAUCCCCGGGCUCAACCUGGGAACUGCCUUUGUGACUGCAAGGCUAGAGUACGGCAGAGGGGGAUGGAAUUCCGCGUGUAGCAGUGAAAUGCGUAGAUAUGCGGAGGAACACCGAUGGCGAAGGCAAUCCCCUGGGCCUGUACUGUCGCUCAUGCACGAAAGCGUGGGGAGCAAACAGGAUUAGAUACCCGCGUAGUCCCUGUCUCUUAUAC